AGAGUUUGAUCCUGGCUCAGAUUGAACGCUGGCGGCGUGCUUAACACAUGCAAGUCGAACGCGAAAGGGACUUCGGUCCUGAGUAAAGUGGCGCACGGGUGAGUAACGCGUGGAUAAUCUGCCCUUAUGAUCGGGAUAACAGUUGGAAACGGCUGCUAAUACCGGAUACGCUCAAGAUGAACUUUUUGAGGAAAGAUGGCCUCUGCUUGCAUGCUAUCGCGUAAGGAUGAGUCCGCGUCCCAUUAGCUUGUUGGCGGGGUAACGGCCCACCAAGGCAACGAUGGGUAGCCGAUUUGAGAGGAUGAUCGGCCACACUGGAACUGAAACACGGUCCAGACUCCUACGGGAGGCAGCAGUGGGGAAUAUUGCGCAAUGGGCGAAAGCCUGACGCAGCGACGCCGCGUGAGGGGUGAAGGUUUUCGGAUCGUAAACCUCUGUCAGAAGGGAAGAAACUACGUUGUGCUAAUCAGCAGCGUACUGACGGUACCUUCAAAGGAAGCACCGGCUAACUCCGUGCCAGCAGCCGCGGUAA
rnacentral:rRNA from 1 species